AAGUUGAUACAGACGCAUUUCUUUCUGUAUUAGCUCUUCAACCUAUACAAAAGAUGGAAUCCAUCCCAACCAUUGUAGAGGUAUCAAGCUCUAAUACGUAUGAUCUUCUCAAGUCUAUAUCGGGGUUGAAAGUGGAGCCGGUUGAAAAUUCUACAUCCAAAUUGUUUGUCCAAUGCUCACGUCAAAAGGGCCUGAUAAAGAUCUACAGGCACCUACUAAAUUACUCAA